AAAUAAGAAGCAAUAUAUUGCAAUCAGUUUCGACCUGAUCAUUAGAUAAAUUUUAUCCUUAUUUA
rnacentral:tRNA from 1 species